UUCAGGUUAAAGUUUUUGGUCAAGGUAGUUUUUGAUGAAGCUGAAGUCCAAUCAACUUGAAACUUAGUAGACUUAUUGCUUAUGAUAUGAUCUUUCUAAUAUUAAAGCCAAAUCAGAAUUUUGACCCCAAUUUCACGGUCCACUGAACAUAGAAAAUGAAAGUGGGAGUUUCAGGUUAAAGUUUUUGGUCAAGGUAGUUUUUGGUGAAGCUGAAGUCCAAUCAACUUGAAACUUAGUA
rnacentral:lncRNA from 1 species